GCCCGUCCACCGAACGGUCGGCAGGCGAUCCGCCUAGGUCUCGUGAGGUGGUAUGGUUCCCCAGAGGCCGGUUCUUGUGCUGCCUACCCGUUCAAGGGAAGCUGGCCGCUCGAUGUAAGCCUCCAUCCGGCGCCUUCCAACGGGCGCAGGAGGACAACGGAGCACCCCCCGCGUUCCACCGGUCCAUCUCGGUCGCGUGGCCCGUGGGGACGUGCGAUGCUCUCGGACCCAGCGAACGCCGUGGGCGAGGACUCACGUCCCAGUCCCGAAAAGAAGCUCCGAUAUAAUGCUGACGGCCUCCCCCGUCCCCCGACCGGCGCGGGGGCGAGGCGCGGCGUCGCGGAGGAAUGCUACCU
rnacentral:misc_RNA from 1 species